rnacentral:rRNA from 1 species
GUGAGGAAUAUUGGACAAUGGGCGCAAGCCUGAUCCAGCCAUGCCGCGUGCAGGAAGACGCAUCUAUGGUGUGUAAACUGCUUUUGUACGGGAAGAAACACUCCCUCGUGAGGGAGCUUGACGGUACCGUAAGAAUAAGGAUCGGCUACUCCGUGCCAGCAGCCGCGGUAAUACGGAGGAUCCAAGCGUUAUCCGGAAUCAUUGGGUUUAAAGGGUCCGUAGGCGGUUUAAUAAGUCAGUGGUGAAAGCCCAUCGCUCAACGAUGGAACGGCCAUUGAUACUGUUAGACUUGAAUUACAAGGAAGUAACUAGAAUAUGUAGUGUAGCGGUGAAAUGCUUAGAUAUUACAUGGAAUACCAAUUGCGAAGGCAGGUUACUACUUGUGGAUUGACGCUGAUGGACGAAAGCGUGGGGAGCGAACAGGAUUAGAUACCCCUGUAGUCC